rnacentral:misc_RNA from 1 species
ACAUCCAGGUGGAACCUCGCAUCCGAACCCACCCCUCCGCACGCAGCUAAGUGCGGCAGGGGAAACGGGACGGGAAAGCAAUGCGGGGCAGACAAGGGGCGCUCGGGUUGGUGUGGGCUCCGGCCCCCCCCUUUCUCCGAGACAAUCGCUCGUACCUGGGAAAACGAGAUGGCCGUCGCAACCCGUGCGCUCCGGGGCACAAAUGGGGGGCAGUCGGUUGAAAUCGCAGGGCCGCAUUAGCCCGUCUCCGCUCCUCUCGACCCCAGUGCAGAUCCCCGGGCGCCACCCGGGAGGACGCGAGUGGGACGAGCGAGAUGAGGCGGGCGGCGACCCCGCUGGGCUCGGCGAACCCAGCCGGCCAACGGACUCCGUCCGGACCUCCCAGCAGGUGGGGGGGCCGGUCACUCGGUCCCUCUUUUCUCUCCCGAGACGGUCGCGAAAAGGUUCGGGAGCCGGGGGCGUGGCAACCCCCGGUCUCCCCCUCCAAAGUAGCGCACAAGAACGGGCGAGAGGCGGACGGGGCUCGUACAAAAAUGGUCGGACGGGGAGGAACCGGGCAAACCCCAAACG